rnacentral:sRNA from 1 species
CGCCUUUAUGGUGGUGGAGUACGCCCAAGCUGUGGACAGCAAAUAACCCUGUACAAAGGGGAAUGGAGAUUGCCUCUAUCCACCUAGAUUCAUAAGAUGCCCUGAGGUGAUCUUGGCAUCACGGAAGGUAUGCACAUCACACCAUCAGCUUCAGAGAAUGGCAGCCAUUUAUUUGUCCCGUGGGUUUUUUUCCAGGGAACCAAUCUGCCCUUUUGAAGAAAAGACAGAGGUAGAAAGGAUGGUGGAGGACUACCUGGCAAACGGUUAUCAGGAUUCAGUGACAUUUGAUGAUGUGGCUGUGGACUUCACCCCAGAGGAGUGGGCUUUACUGGACACAACUGAGAAAUACCUCUACAGAGAUGUGAUGCUGGAGAACUACAUGAACCUGGCCUCUAAUGGGAAAUGCAACCUAGAACCAAACGGUCAUCACUUCAGCAGGGUUUUUUGAAGAAUCAAAUAUUCAGUGGGAUACAAAUGACAAGAGGCUACAGUGGAUGGAAACUCUGUGACUGUAAGAAUUGUGGCGAGGUCUUCAGGGAACAAUUUUGCCUUAAGACACACAUGAGAGCUCAGAAUGGAGGGAACACUUCUGAGGGUAAUUGUUAUGGAAAAGACACCCUCGGUGUGCACAAGGAAGCCUCUAUUGGACGGGAGCUUUCCAAAUUUAAUCCAUGUGGAAAAGUCUUCACUCUAACUCCAGGUCUUGCUGUACAUCUUGAAGUUCUCAACGCAAGACAACCCUACAAAUGUAAGGAAUGUGGAAAAGGCUUUAAGUAUUUUGCGAGCCUUGAUAAUCACAUGGGAAUCCACACUGAUGAGAAACUCUGUGAAUUUCAGGAAUGUGGGAGAGCUGUCACAGCUUCCUCACACCUAAAGC